rnacentral:rRNA from 1 species
AACGAACGCUGGCGGCAAGCUUAACACAUGCAAGUCGAGCGCCCCGCAAGGGGAGCGGCAGACGGGUGAGUAACGCGUGGGAACGUACCUUUUGGUUCGGAACAACUCCGGGAAACUGGAGCUAAUACCGGAUAAGCCCUAACGGGGAAAGAUUUAUCGCCGAAAGAUCGGCCCGCGUCUGAUUAGCUAGUUGGUGAGGUAACGGCUCACCAAGGCGACGAUCAGUAGCUGGUCUGAGAGGAUGAUCAGCCACACUGGGACUGAGACACGGCCCAGACUCCUACGGGAGGCAGCAGUGGGGAAUAUUGGACAAUGGGCGCAAGCCUGAUCCAGCCAUGCCGCGUGAGUGAUGAAGGCCUUAGGGUUGUAAAGCUCUUUUGUCCGGGAAGAUAAUGACUGUACCGGAAGAAUAAGCCCCGGCUAACUUCGUG